rnacentral:rRNA from 1 species
GCCAUGCAAGUCUCAGUACAUGCCUAACUAAGGUGAAACCGCAAAAGGCUCAUUAAAUCAGUUAUGGUUCCUUGGAUCUUAAACAGUUACUUGGAUAACUGUGGUAAUUCUAGAGCUAAUACAUGAGAACAAGUCCCGACCAGAGAUGGGAGGGACGCUUUUAUUAGAUCAAAACCGAUCGGCGUCCGGUUUCGGCCGGCGCCGUCUCUUUUGGUGACUCUGGAUAACUUUUAGCCGAUCGCACGGUCACAGUACCGGCGACGCAUCUUUCAAAUGUCUGACUUAUCAACUGUCGAUGGUAGCCUCUGCGACUACCAUGGUUGUAACGGGUAACGGGGAAUCAGGGUUCGAUUCCGGAGAGGGAGCCUGAGAAACGGCUACCACAUCCAAGGAAGGCAGCAGGCGCGCAAAUUACCCACUCCCGGCACGGGGAGGUAGUGACGAAAAAUAACGAUACGGGACUCAUCCGAGGCCCCGUAAUCGGAAUGAGUACACUUUAAAUACUUUAACGAGUACCAAUUGGAGGGCAAGUCUGGUGCCAGCAGCCGCGGUAAUUCCAGCUCCAAUAGCGUAUAUUAAAGUUGUUGCGGUUAAAAAGCUCGUAGUUGGAUCUGUGUGCCACGCUGUCGGUUCACCGCCUGUCGGUGUCAACUGGCAUGUCUGUGGGACGUCCUGCCGGUGGCGGUACGGGCUGCCGGCGCUGCGUAGGGGCUCGCCCCCGAAGCACGCCGGCGUGUCCCGGUCCGCCGAUCCAAUCCCGCCGCGGUGCUCUUCACUGAGUGUCGAGGUGGGCCGGCACGUUUACUUUGAACAAAUUAGAGUGCUCAAAUCAGGUCGUAUUUAGGCCUGAAUACUG